rnacentral:rRNA from 1 species
UGGGGAAUUUUGGACAAUGGGCGCAAGCCUGAUCCAGCAAUGCCGCGUGCAGGAAGAAGGCCUUCGGGUUGUAAACUGCUUUUGUACGGAACGAAACGGCCUGCUCUAAUACAGCGGGCUAAUGACGGUACCGUAAGAAUAAGCACCGGCUGACUACGUG